rnacentral:pre_miRNA from 1 species
AGCCUGCUUCCUCCGGUAGCCAAGGAUGACUUGCCUAUAUUUGCUCCUUCAGAAGUCCUGGUUAAUUACAUGCCAGGUUUCAGAUGAGUUUGGCGAUAGGCAGUCACCUUGGCUAGCCUGAGUGGCUCU